UACGUAGGUGGCAAGCGUUGUCCGGAUUUACUGGGCGUAAAGAGCGCGCAGGCGGUCGUUCAAGUCGCGUGUGAAAGCCCCCGGCUCAACUGGGGAGGGUCACGCGAUACUGAUCGACUCGAAGGCAGGAGAGGGUAGUGGAAUUCCCGGUGUAGUGGUGAAAUGCGUGGAUAUCGAGAAGAACACUUAGGGCGAAGGCAAGACUCUGGACAAAUGCUGACGCUCAUGCACGAAGGCUGGGGUAGCGAACGGG
rnacentral:rRNA from 1 species